GCGGUGUAAGCAGAAUUAAGGUUCUGCUACCUCUGUGUGUAGAAUAUUCCCAAUGGAUUUUUCAUUUUUCAGGUGCUAUUUUUUGACCCUGUAUAGACUUUAAUUUAAAAUGAAUUUGGUAACGUUUCUCCUCUGUCUCUACAUAUAUUCAUGCUUUCACCUGCUCUUUUAACACCUGCUUUUAGUAUCUGAGGCACUUUUUCUGAACUCUACUUGUGCACUGGAUCCCUCCUCCUUUCUCUGCCAGGCUGUGUUUACUUUAUCCUUACAUCACCACUUAGUGAUUCCUUUCUUUGUAUAAACAUGGUAAAUGUCUUCAUUAGCCUAAAAGGAAAGACCAAAUAAAACCUUUCCUACCACUUGGAUGCAUUUGCAUCCUGACUUCUGAAAUGCCUCCAGCCUCCAUUUUCUCCCUUCCCAGUUAUUCCUUAGCCCAGCCAUCUCUGUCUUUAGCUCCUACAAUUUUCUUAGGAUAUUCUGGGAAAGAUGAGCGGAGACUGCCCGCCUUGUCAAAUCUAGUGUCUUUUUUUCAGUCCUCACACUGCUUGACCUAUGUAUAACCUCCUAUACUUCCCUCUUUGCAUACUCCUCUGGGUUUUCUGUGGUAGUCAAGAUUCCUCCCUGAGAUUUAUUUCCCAUGAGUCUUGACCCCUCCCCUCAGUUGGUGCUAUUUCCCCCUACCCGCCCUCCGAUGAUCUUAUCAGAGCCCACAGGUUCAGUUUUCUUUCAUGCUACCUGAAUGUCCUGAUAAACUGGCUCGCUCUCUUCUUUACCUUCCAUAAUGGCAUUACCAUUUACCACGCCACCCAAGAUACUUACUAGGAACCUCAAAGUAUUGUAUUCUUUUUCUCCAUCACACUCAUACUUAAUCAUCAAGUCCUUUUGAGCUUGUCUCCUCUUGAAUAUGUCCCUUCUUAAUUCCUGCUGCCUUCUUAGUAAAGGCCUUCAUUCUUUUUUCCCUAGUAAUAAUCUUUUCCAUAUGUUCCAGUUAAAAUACCAUGUUCUCCCUAUUCCUUAUUACAUAGCUAGCAUUCCUUGAAAAAAAACAAUUCUCUCAGGCCUCCAUACCUUUAGCAUGUUACCCACUCUGCCUCUGCUCUUCUGGAACUAGAACACUCAUCCUUGAAGGCUGGGCUUCUGUAUGAAGGUUGGUCCUGCCUCCUUACUUGAGGUGAAGCUUUGUACAUGCCUGUAUUACGGACAUCCUCUUAUUUAAGUGUUUGUCUCUUUCGUCAUUGGGACUCCAGCACCCAGCAUAGUCCCUAGUAUACUAGUUGGUGCUGAAUAAAUAGUAGCUAUUAUUAGAAAAGGAAGGGUGAAAUUGACAUGGGAGUUAGUAAAAUGUAUAUGGAAAUGAUUUUUAAAGGGAAAGGUAAUGAUUUUCUGGCAGGAAAAGCAGCAAUGACAAGAUUACUUAAGUCUUGUGAAAUAACACUUCUCUUCCUUGACCUGCUGCUUCCCUUUUUUACCACACACACACGCACACAUACCACAGCCCUUUGAGACUGAAAGCAGCUCUAUUGAGAAUAGUAGUGUCAACUGUAUUAUGUAGAAAUUCUAAAGUUUUUGGGAUUAUUUCAUAGCCCUGACCUUGCUACUUCUCUCCACUUUAUGUGGCAGGUUUAAUCUCAGGUCUCCCUCAUACACUUCUCAGCCUCAGCACCUAACCCUCACACAACACUCCAGUAUUGAUGCAGUCAAUCUUGUAUAACAUUUUUUGAAUGUCCAAUGUGCAAAGCACGAUGUUGGAAAUUAUACAGAGGUGAAUAAGACAAAAACUCUUGCUCUCAAAGAUGUCAGUCUUUUUCUUUGCAAGGAUAACACAUGUAGAGUAAAAUGCAUAAAGGGGACUAAUUUUAAAUGUACAGCUUAAUUAAUUUUUAUGUAUGUUAACACCCAUGUCACCACCAUGUUUAGGACAUUUCCAGCACCCCUGAAAUUUCCUUCAUGCCCCUUCCCAGUCUGUACCUACACCUCUAAAUCUAUUUUCAAUCUUAAUGGCCUUUUAAAUAACUGGGCUUCUCACAACCAUAGUGAACAGAAACAGCUGGGUUGUCAACGUCUAACCUAAUACUUCAGGAAAACUCAUGAUGGUUUCCAUGUUAAGAGAGACAUGGAGCAGGGCACUGGCAUGGUGGAUGGAUCACGCCUGUAAUCCCAGCACUUUGGGAGGCCGAGGUAGGGGGAUUGCUUGAGCCCAGGAGUUCAAGACUAGCCUGGGUAAUAUAAGGAAAACCUGUCUCU
rnacentral:lncRNA from 1 species